AACGAACGCUGGCGGCAUGCCUAACACAUGCAAGUCGAACGGGCUCUUCGGAGCUAGUGGCGCACGGGUGCGUAACGCGUGGGAACCUGCCCUUAGGUUCGGAAUAACUCCUCGAAAGGGGUGCUAAUACCGGAUAAUGUCUUCGGACCAAAGAUUUAUCGCCUUUGGAUGGGCCCGCGUAGGAUUAGGUAGUUGGUGGGGUAAAGGCCUACCAAGCCGACGAUCCUUAGCUGGUCUUAGAGGAUGAUCAGCCACACUGGGACUGAGACACGGCCCAGACUCCUACGGGAGGCAGCAGUGGGGAAUAUUGGACAAUGGGCGCAAGCCUGAUCCAGCAAUGCCGCGUGAGUGAUGAAGGCCUUAGGGUUGUAAAGCUCUUUUACCCGGGAUGAUAAUGACAGUACCGGGAGAAUAAGCCCCGGCUAACUCCGUGCCAGCCGCCGCGGUAA
rnacentral:rRNA from 1 species